rnacentral:ncRNA from 2 species
GCGGCGCGAAGGGGAGAGGGCGGCAAGGCAGCCGCCGCCGAAGGCGCAAUCCACCCGGAAACGCUCAGGCAAAAAGGACCGUUCGUGCAAG